rnacentral:rRNA from 1 species
CAGUCGCCACGGGAAUACGGAGGGGGCUAGCGUUGUUCGGAAUUACUGGGCGUAAAGCGCACGUAGGCGGCUUGGUAAGUUAGAGGUGAAAGCCUGGAGCUCAACUCCAGAAUUGCCUUUAAGACUGCCGAGCUAGCAGGUGAGAGAGGUAAGUGGAAUUCCGAGUGUAGAGGUGAAAUUCGUAGAUAUUCGGAAGAACACCAGUGGCGAAGGCGGCUUACUGGCUCAUACUGGACGCUGAGGUGCGAAAGCGUGGGGAGCAAACAGGAUUAGAUACCCGUGUAGUCCCUGUCUCUUAUAC